GUCCUUACAGCGCUCUCCCUCUGGUUAGACGAUGAAUUUGUAUCAUCGAUUAAACAAAUGAUGUCACCUGUACAAAGUUGCAGCGACUGGAGAUUAUCAAGCCACGCUUUGGGAAGAAUCUGUGAGUAGAUGUGAAUUGUGACAUUCAGAAUGAAUAAAAUACAAUUCCUUAGAUAUUGGACCUAAACAUCUACACUGAAUUAAUGGUAACCUAGAGAAAUGCCUGAUAGGAAAUGUCUCCUCUGUUCUCCUGUGAGUACUUAAUGUUUAAUAAAAUAGUUUGAAACCCCCCCAAAAACAUAUUCAAGGGGCUUCGUUCUGAAAUUUGACACACAUCUCAUAAUACCGAGGGUUGAUAUUUUAUAAAUGAAAACGCAUUGCCUGCUGUAUAAUGCGCCAGCAGCCCACUGAGAAUCGGGCGUGCUUGUGUGUGGAGCGACCCGUUGGCCUGAGGGGAAUUGCGCCGCCGGGGUGGAUUCAAAAAGCCUCUCUCCACCAGCUCGUUCAUCAUCUCUGCAUCCGCUGGGACGCACGAUGCGAAGGCGCGGCGAGCAGUGGCCUCCUCUGAAGGGUGUCUGAUUAAUCUGACUGGCGGGAAAUGAUCGGCGCAGCCUGACAUGGCGAGUCGCGGUGACACGUGGCACACGCCGACAAACACACCAUACCGCGCGCGGCAUCUGCCAGACUUUUUUUUUUUUUUUUUUUUACACGCAGCUCUUGACAAGCUGGGAAAGGGAGAGGAAGCAGGAAAGCUGCUUCUCAUGUGAAAUGCAUCUCGAGCUAUUUCCACGGCAACGUGGAAUGUCAUUUUGAGCGGGGAGAGAAAUGGCGGGCGAAUGAGAGCAAUGACUGCGCGCAUCGUAGUGUGUCAUGACGUGAAGCCGAAACAAUGGCUCCAUCAUUGGAGCAGCUGGAGGUCCUUUCCCUGAUUGCAGCUCCGGAAGGAGAGGCUCGCGGAUUCCAGCGACGGAGCUGGGAGGCGAUGAUGCAGCGAGGUCGGUUUGUUUGACACGGAAACACGCGCGGUGGAACCAGAUCGAACAAGCGACCGAGACCCCGUCUUCCCCCAUCGAUCCAAAACGCCGGCAGAUUCCAGUGGCGGGUGGAACCAAACACAUCAGCAGGUGUGGGAAUUGGCAGGAAUGUCACGGGAUCAAAGCUGGGGUGAGGGGCGAGUGGGAUUUUGUGGGAUCUCGGGGGCCGAGCGGAGGAGGCCGGGGACGUAGUUGCUCCCGUGAGACUUGCAGUGUGCACUCUGGGAUCUCACCCUCCCCGUGUGCCUCUCACAUCCCUACAGAGUGCCGAGGGCCUUUCAUCGACCCGCUGUGUGUUUCUUCCAGAUGUUGCGAGCCGCUGUUGGCUGGUCUUUUGUGCCGAUUUUUGUGACAAAUGUCUCUGGGAAGGCGCCACAACAAACACAACAAUGGUUUGAAAGGGAUCACUAACAUACUGCUUUACUUUUAAAUGUAGGGAUUUAUCAGUAUGCCUUGUUUCUCUGACGCAGGAAACUGUUUAUUAGCUGGAAAACCAGGGCGGCGUGUAAUGAAGUUGGCGAGGAGCGUGUAAUAUUCAUAAGCAACACCCCCCUGGACCUUGACACGACCUUCAAUCCAUUGCUCGGGAUAAUAAUGCUGAUAAUACUUUGCACUUUGCAGCCCAUUCUUAAGACAAAUGUCCAUCCUUGCAGGGGACCAUCAAAGGAUGCGCUCUCCUGGAAGAGAUCUGGUAGGUAUCAUACCGAUAAUAAGGACGAUAUGGCAGGAAAAAUGAAAUCAGGUUUUAUCUGCUGGAUGAGAGAAAUCGGUUUCAGUCCUCUUUAUCUGAUAUGCAAGUUCUCUGACAGGAAAUGAGGGAUUGACUCAGAGUUCAUAUUUCAUCCACACGUACACAUAUGAAAACAUAGGCCUUGCUGGCUAAUCCAGGCUAGCUCCAGCAGCCCUAUGUGGGGGCAGGGGGGCUGGUCUAAUCCUGUUAUCGGGCCCAACAGAUGCUGUUGACAGAACAAUAGGCAGGGGGCCAGUAAGGCAGCCCGGCUCGAGGAGGUCAUGAGCCAAACUCAUCACAGCAGCAGCAGGAUCGCUGGCUGGCUGCAGCAAGCUGGACUCGUCGCUCGUCACACACACUGGCUCUCGCGGGCCGAACGCUUUGCCGCAACAGCCGUUCCAGAGUGACUUGUUAACGGCCAGUUCCAUUUUUGCUUUGUUUGCAGCGCGAGUGUGCAUACAGUGACACUCCUGAUGGCUUUUGCACACAAAGUCUGUAUUUUGCUUCCAAAAUGGUUGCAUGUUUCAAAACAAAUACCAAUGUAUUUUUCUUCCAGAAUUAUGCCAAGUUUAUAAAUAAAUACAGCCUCAUGUAUGAAUCUGA